rnacentral:rRNA from 1 species
CCUACGUGGAGCAGCAGUGGGGAAUAUUGCGCAAUGGGCGAAAGCCUGACGCAGCGACGCCGCGUGAGGGAUGAAGGUCUUCGGAUCGUAAACCUCUGUCAGCAGGGAAGAACGGUCACUGUGCUAAUCAGCAGUGAAUUGACGGUACCUGCAAAGGAAGCACCGGCUAACUCCGUGCCAGCAGCCGCGGGAAUACGGAGGGUGCGAGCGUUAAUCGGAAUUACUGGGCGUAAAGCGCUCGUAGGCGGUAUGUCAAGUCAAGGGUGAAAUCCCCGCGCUCAACGUGGGAACUGCCUUUGAAACUGGCAAACUGGAGUGUGGGAGAGGAUAGUGGAAUUCCAGGUGUAGGAGUGAAAUCCGUAGAUAUCUGGAGGAACAUCAGUGGCGAAGGCGACUAUCUGGCACAUAACUGACGCUGAGGAGCGAAAGCGUGGGUAGCAAACAGGAUUAGAUACCCCUGUAGUC